GUUUAUACAUAAAAAGAAGGAAUGGUCGAUGGCCUCCAUCUAGGUAAAAAGCAUUCCAUCUUUUCUUUUCUUCACAACAAGCCACGCACACAUUGCAUGACCCAUAUGGAAAGAACCCUAUGUUUCCGAGAAGCUUCCUUUUUCUUUUCUUUCUACAAAACCAUAUACAAAAGUUAAGUUGAUGAAGUCACAGAGAAAGUGAAUCUACUCUGGAUGGGUCAGAUUUGCAUAUGUCAUUUUGCUUUGUGGCUGCCGUUUUUCAAUGCGAGGGUGUGUCACGCCCCACCCAAAUUGGCGUUUGCCAACUGAGUUUUUAUUAGUUUUCACUUAAAACUCCCCACAUCACCAACCAUGGACAACAUUGCUGCCAAUAAGAGUCUCAAAGGUAAAGCCUCACCACGACCACCAAUGAUUUCAGUAAUAUAUUAUAUCAAGGCGCACCACAUGUUUGAAUAAAAAAACUUUAUAUCUUGGGGGAUCCGUUGUGACUUGAGUUUUCAAAUCAGCAUAUCGAAGACCAAUAAUAUGCUUCCAAGUUCCUAGGACUAAAGAAACGUAACUACAUCCAACCACGCUGUUGAAUUUUUCGCAUUAUUGAUUAACCUAGGAGGUCCCCUUCCAUCAAAUACAUCUUUUCGACCUCGUUGGGAUAAUUAGACAACGGAUCAUGGACAGAUCAAAGAAAGCUAUACAGAGGUUGAGAGAAUUCCAUAAUUGCAGGGAUUUCCACUUCUUUAACCAUUGUUUAAUCAGAAGAGCCUGCCAAGGAAAGAAAUAAGAGUAUUUUAAUGCAACAUUCAAGACUUUUCGGGCCCUGGAGGGCCAAAGUUAAUUUUAAAAUAUUUUAUAUGCACAAAUCACAUGGUUUUGUUGCCUUCUAUAUUUCAAACUGAAUGAUUGCCGCACUGUCAUGCUGCA
rnacentral:sRNA from 1 species